AGAGAGCAGCCGUGGGCCUCCUUUCCGUCCAGCACCCCAGCCUGGCUCUCGGCAGCAGCUACACCCAGCUUCGGGGAUGCCCAGCCCCUGCACCUCAGGAGCAGAGUGCCAACCUCCUGGAGUCCACGGAGGCCAUGCAGCCCAACUGAGCCCCACCCCCCCAGUGCCCACCUGUGGUGGCUCCAGCUGGGGCACCAGAGUUGGGCUGGACAGACGUGGGCCUGCAGUGUGGAAGCCCAAACAGAGCUGGGAGGUGGGGUCUUUUGGAGACAGGUGCUGAGCCCCAGAGAUGGGGGGCUGGCUGGACCAUACCCUCUGACGCUGUCCCCUAACCAGCUUUCCUUGCCCCCAGCCCACAGCCGAUCGCUACUGAAGCAUCGCUGCUUGGAGACCCCCCCCCCCCCCGCCCAGGACAGACCCCACCAGGUGCUCCGCUUUCGUGGUGGACAGGGCGUGGCUGGGAUCACCUGGGUGCAGCCCUGCCCCACGGGCAGGCCGGUCUUUGCGGGGGGGGGGGGUGUCUCUGCCCUUCCCCUCCAGCUCGGCCUUGGACACGCAGGCUUGCCACGUGGCCUUCAACCUCAGGCCCCACAAGGACAGUGUCUGUCCUUCAUCUCCAGCCCUCAGUCCUUGGGGAAGAAGCACUCUCCUAACUUUGUGUUUCUGCCACAAAGGGUCUGCGGGGCCAGAGAUGUGAGCUUGCGGCAAGUAGGUGGGGGUGAGCACAGGCCCAGGAGGGCAGGUCUCGGGAAUCCGCUGGGCAGGCAGGAGCAGCCUGAGCCUCGAGGCCUUGUCCACGGUUGGUCGGUUGGGCGAGGCAGGAAGACGUCCCGCCACCUGCCAGCCCUCAGGCCGACCCCCAGGGGCUCGCUUCCCACCAGAGGGCGCAGCCGACACACACGGAGUCCCAGAGCCAAGUGGGAGGAAGGGCCCUUCCCAGAAGCCUCCCACUGUUGUCGGAGGGCCUCCAGCUGGCCUCACGUGGGCAGGCGCCUGGGGGGCCCCCGUGGGAGAGGCCCUCACCCAACCUUCAUGCAACAGACUUUUAAUGACUGCAUCGGUGCACAGGUUCCCAUCCUCCCUGGGCAUGGCGGGGGCAGCGGCCUUCCUGCUGGCUCCAAGCCCCGGAGCAACUAUGCCCACCCCACCACAGACAACACAUGA
rnacentral:lncRNA from 1 species